UGUGCCCUCAGCUAGCAGACAGAA
rnacentral:piRNA from 1 species